GUCCAUUGCAAGCAGAGCAGCCCUUCUUCUAUCUGUGCUAUCAUUUGUCCCUAUGUACUGCAUGCCGUGUGUGUGUAUGCCUUAUUUGGUUCUGAAGGCUAUUGAAAAGGAAUGCAGAGCUUUUUUACGGGGACAUUUAACUGAGAAUAAGAAUUUUCAUCCUAUAUCUUGGUCCCUUGUUCGUUAUCUUCACUCCAAUUCAGGCAGCAAGAUUUAAUCCUUAAAUUGGCUGCUCACUUGGUAUUGUAUCCAGAGUCCUUGU
rnacentral:lncRNA from 1 species